UACGGAGGGUGCGAGCGUUGUCCGGAAUCACUGGGCGUAAAGGGCGCGUAGGCGGCGCGGAUAGUCGGCGGUGAAAGCCCGGAGCUCAACUCCGGGUCGGCCGUCGAUACUUCCGGGCUUGAGCACUGUAGAGGCAGAUGGAAUUCCGGGUGUAGCGGUGGAAUGCGUAGAGAUCCGGAAGAACACCGGUGGCGAAGGCGGUCUGCUGGGCAGUUGCUGACGCUGAUGCGCGACAGCGUGGGGGAGCAAACGAGGGAUUAGAAUACCCCUUGUACGUCAGACCCAAAG
rnacentral:rRNA from 1 species